rnacentral:rRNA from 1 species
UACGUAGGGGGCAAGCGUUGUCCGGAUUUAUUGGGCGUAAAGAGCGUGUAGGCGGCCAUACAGGUCAGCUGUGAAAACUCGAGGCUCAACCUCGAGACGUCGGUUGAAACCGUAUGGCUAGAGUCCGGAAGAGGAGAGUGGAAUUCCCGGUGUAGCGGUGAAAUGCGCAGAUAUCGGGAAGAACACCUAUGGCGAAGGCAGCUCUCUGGGACGGUACUGACGCUGAGACGCGAAAGCGUGGGGAGCGAACAGA